UAAAUCAGUUAUGGUUCACUAGAUCGUACAGUUUACACGGAUAACUGUGGUAAUUCUAGAGCUAAUACGUGCAAUCAGCUCGCUUCCUUGUGGAGUGAGCGCAGUUAUUAGAACAAGACCAAUCCGGCCUUCGGGUCGGUACAAUUGGUGACUCUGAAUAACCGAAGCGGAGCGCAUGGUCUCGUACCGGCGCCAGAUCUUUCAAGUGUCUGACUUAUCAGCUUGUUGUUAGGUUAUGUUCCUAACAAGGCUUUUACGGGUAACGGGGUAUCAGGGUCCGAUACCGGAGAGGGAGCCUGAGAAACGGCUACCACAUCUAAGGAAGGCAGCAGGCGCGCAAAUUACCCACUCCCGGCACGGGGAGGUAGUGACGAAAAAUAACGAUGCGAGAGCUAUAAAGUUUCUCGUAAUCGGAAUGGGUACACUUUAAAUCCUUUAACGAGGAUCUAUUGGAGGGCAAGUCUGGUGCCAGCAGCCGCGGUAAUUCCAGCUCCAAUAGCGUAUAUUAAAGUUGCUGCGGUUAAAAAGCUCGUAGUUGGAUCUGGGUAGCUGGACGGAUGGUAUGCUUAACUGUGUUACUAUCUGUUCGGCACCACAAGCCGGUCAUGUCUUGCAUGCUCUUCACUGGGUGUGCUUGGCGCCCGGAACGUUUACUUUGAAAAAAUUAGAGUGCUCAAAGCAGGCGUACGGCCUUGCAUAAUGGUGCAUGGAAUAAUGGAAUAGGACCUCGGUUCUAUUUUGUUGGUUUUCGGAACUCGAGGUAAUGAUUAAUAGGAACAGACGGGGGCAUU
rnacentral:rRNA from 1 species